rnacentral:rRNA from 1 species
UACGAAGGGGGCUAGCGUUGUUCGGAAUUACUGGGCGUAAAGCGCACGUAGGCGGAUAUUUAAGUCAGGGGUGAAAUCCCGGGGCUCAACCCCGGAACUGCCUUUGAUACUGGGUAUCUCGAGUCCGAGAGAGGUGAGUGGAAUUCCGAGUGUAGAGGUGAAAUUCGUAGAUAUUCGGAGGAACACCAGAAGCGAAGGCGGCUCACUGGCCCGAUACUGACGCUGAGGCGCGAAAGCGUGGGGAGCAAACAGG